UACGGGGGGGGCAAGCGUUAAUCGGAAUUACUGGGCGUAAAGGGUGCGCAGGCGGUUCUGCAAGUCAGGCGUGAAAGCCCCGGGCUUAACCUGGGAAUGGCGCUUGAAACUACAGGACUGGAGUAUGGCAGAGGGAGGUGGAAUUCCACGUGUAGCGGUGAAAUGCGUAGAGAUGUGGAGGAACACCGAUGGCGAAGGCAGCCUCCUGGGCCAAUACUGACGCUCAUGCACGAAAGCGUGGGGAGCAAACAGG
rnacentral:rRNA from 1 species